CCGGUACAAUUCUUAAGUUACCGUUGUGAAUACGAGUCGAAUUUGGCCGAGCAUUCCCAUGGAAGUCAAAAAGGAUUCCGUUAACGACAAGGAAAGAAUUCAUCUCGUUAAGCUGUGGGAGAAUCACAAACAAGUGACAUCCAAGACGUUACGAGAGAAAAAUUUGAGACGAAAUUCAGAACAUAUGUCUGAUGUUGCGAAAGACGAUCCCUAUUUUGGCGCAAGAGACCCAAUUGUAGUAGCGAGAGAUGCCCUUAUCAAGUCAUGCAAGAAAUAUUUCGCUGCAAACUACUUGAAGCACUCCAAAGAUUGGACAGAAAAAUCAUAUAAGUGUAUGUAUUGGGAUCGUGACUAAGCAUUCUGUAUUGCCAAUAAUAAAUGGAUUUUGAGUUGAAAA